rfam:Cylindrobasidium torrendii FP15055 ss-10 unplaced genomic scaffold CYLTOscaffold_46, whole genome shotgun sequence.
GACUCCAUAGCUAAGUGGUUAUAGCACAAGAUUGCAGAUCUUGGGGUCCCGUGUUCAAAUCACGGUGGGGUCU